rnacentral:tRNA from 1 species
GAUAGCUCUGUUGGAUAGAGCAUGGUGCUGAUAACACCAAGGUUGCAGUUUCAAUCCCUGUAUGGGACA